rnacentral:tRNA from 1 species
GGAUGCGUGCCCGAGUGGACUAAGGGGCCUGCCUCGAAAACAGUGCUGCCGGGCGCAAGUUCGGCUCGAGAGUUCGAAUCUUCUCCGCAUCCG